UGGUGGAGUGAUUUGUCUGCUUAAUUGCGAUAACGAACGAGACCUUAACCUGCUAAAUAGCCCGGUCCGCAUUUGCGGGCCGCUGGCUUCUUAGGGGGACUAUCGGCUCAAGCCGAUGGAAGUGCGCGGCAAUAACA
rnacentral:rRNA from 1 species